rnacentral:ncRNA from 1 species
CAAAGGCUUGGUCCUGACUUUACUGUCAGCUCUUGCUAAAUUUACACAUGCAAGUAUCCGCACCCCCGUGAGAAUGCCCUACAGUUUUCUGUUUGAAGACAAGGAGCCGGUAUCAGGCACAGUCAACGCUAGCCCACGACACCUUGCUUAGCCACACCCCCAAGGGAUUUCAGCAGUGAUAAACAUUAAGCCAUAAGUGCAAGCUUGACUUAAUUAAGGCAAAGAGAGCCGGUAAAACUCGUGCCAGCCACCGCGGUUAUACGAGAGGCUCAAGUUGACAGACACCGGCGUAAAGAGUGGUUAAGGAAAUUUUUAGAUUAAAGCCGAACGCCUACAAGACUGUCAUACGUUCUUCGAAGGUAUGAAGCCCCACCACGAAAGUGGCUUUAUCCCCCCUGACCCCACGAAAGCUGAGAAACAAACCGGGAUUAGAUACCCCAUUAUGCUCAGCCGUAAACUUUGAUAGCCUACUACACCCGCUAUCCGCCCGGGUACUACGAGCACCAGCUUAAAACCCAAAGGACUUGGCGGUGCUUAACAUCCAUCUAGAGGAGCCUGUCCAAUAACCGAUAAUCCCCGUUAAACCUCACCCUCCCUUGUCUUUCCCGCCUAUAUACCGCCGUCGUCAGCUCACCCUUUGAGGGAACCAUAGUAAGCAAAAUUGGCACAGCCCAGUACGUCAGGUCGAGGUGUAGCUAAUGAGAGGGGAUGAGAUGGGCUACAUUUCCUAAACAAGGAAAUACGAAUAAUGAUUCUGAAACGAGCAUUAGAAGGAGGAUUUAGUAGUAAGUAGAAAACAGAGUGUUCUACUGAAUCGGCCACUUAAGCGCGCACACACCGCCCGUCACUCUCCCCAAGCUAAACAAAAAUUCAUUCCUAAAACCCCCACCUGCGAUAGGGGAGGCAAGUCGUAACAUGGUAAGUGUACCGGAAGGUGCACUUGGAAAAAU